GAAAGAAAAAGAAAAACAUCGAUGUGAGACACAUCAAUUGGUUGCCUCGUGCACGUGCCCCAAACAGGGCCUGGGUGGGGAAGCAGCCAACAACCAAG